rnacentral:rRNA from 1 species
UUGACAUAUACGGGAACGGGCCAGAAAUGGUCAACUCUUUGGACACUCGUAUACAGGUGGUGCAUGGUUGUCGUCAGCUCGUGUCGUGAGAUGUUGGGUUAAGUCCCGCAACGAGCCGNAACCCUCGUUCUAUGUUGCCAGCACGUCAUGGUGGGAACUCAUGGGAUACUGCCGGGGUCAACUCGGAGGAAGGUGGGGAUGACGUCAAAUCAUCAUGCCCCUUAUGUCUUGGGCUUCACGCAUGCUACAAUGGCCGGUACAAUGGGCUGCGAUACCGUGAGGUGGAGCGAAUCCCAAAAAGCCGGUCCCAGUUCGGAUUGUAGUCUGCAACUCGACUACAUGAAGUCGGAGUCGCUAGUAAUCGCAGAUCAGCAACGCUGCGGUGAAUACGUUCCCGGGUCUUGUACACACCGCCCGUCAAGUCAUGAAAGUCGGUAACACCUGAAGCCGGUGGCCUAACCCUUGUGGAGGGAGCUGUCGAAGGUGGGAUCGGUAAUUAGGACUAAGUCGUAACAAGGUAGGCGUAGUGCU